rnacentral:rRNA from 1 species
UACGAAGGGGGCUAGCGUUGCUCGGAAUCACUGGGCGUAAAGGGUGCGUAGGCGGGUCUUUAAGUCAGGGGUGAAAUCCUGGAGCUCAACUCCAGAACUGCCUUUGACACUGAGGAUCUUGGGUUCGGGAGAGGUGAGUGGAACUGCGAGUGUAGAGGUGAAAUUCGUAGAUAUUCGCAAGAACACCAGUGGCGAAGGCGGCUCACUGGCCCGAUACUGACGCUGAGGCACGAAAGCGUGGGGAGCAAACAGG